UGUCCCUUCUCUAAUGAUUGACAGGUUUAGUGCCUGGUAGUAAGGGUAUUUUGUGGUCUAUUGUCCUCCUAGGAGGUCACUCUGUAGGCUCAGCAAACAAUUCACUGAAGCCAUUCAAGACCGGUUGCAGGGCAGACAGACCAUUGACUUGACAUGACCGUAAUACAUACAGAAUAGGAAGGAUAAGCUAUAAGAUAGAGAUCCGGAUUGUUGUGCUCCGGAAUAAAGAAGAAUACCAUCUUGUCUAAUCAAAUACGAAUACCAUCUUAUUGAUUUAGUCAGCUUGCAUCAACACAUAAGAUGUGAUAUGAGUAGUGGGAAAUAAACUCUUCUUUGAUCACUUGAAACAUAGUAGAAAGCAUCCAAAACAGAAUGAAAUGUUGUUCAAAAGAAGAAGCUACCUGGCCCAACCACUACACCAUUUUGCCUAAUGUGUGACUACCCAUAUCAGUUACAACAUCUUCCGUUUCCAAGUUUUCAGUGCCUUUUUCUUAUAGUAUACAAAAUCAGAUUCUGGAUUGCUCUUCAUUUCGUUCAAUUUAUCCCCUUGCUUUUCAACGUAUAUAUAUUAACCCGCCUUGUUUACCUAUUUCUUCUACAAUUCACAUGACU
rnacentral:lncRNA from 1 species